rnacentral:rRNA from 1 species
CAAUAGCGUAUAUUAAAGUUGUUGCAGUUAAAAAGCUCGUAGUUGGACCUUGGACCUGGACAGGCGGUCCGCCUCACGGCGUGUACUGUCUUGCUGGGUCUUUCCUCUUGGUGAUCUGUUGUUUCGGCAGCAGGGAACCAGGACUUUUACUUUGAAAAAAUUAGAGUGUUCAAAGCAGGCUCGACGCCGGAAUAUAUUAGCAUGGAAUAAUAAAAUAGGACGUGCGGUUCUAUUUUGUUGGUUUUUGGAAUCGCCGUAAUGGUUAAUAGGGACAGUCGGGGGCAUUAGUACUCACAUGCUAGAGGUGAAAUUCUUGGAUUUUGUGAAGACUAACUUCUGCGAAAGCAUUUGCCAAGGAUGUUUUCAUUAA